rnacentral:rRNA from 1 species
UACGGAGGGGGACUAGCGUUGUUCGGAAUUACUGGGCGUAAAGCGCACGUAGGCGGAUUUGUUAGUCAGGGGGUGAAAUCCCGAGGCUCAACCUCGGAACUGCCUUUGAUACUGCAAAUCUCGAGUCCGGAAGAGGUGAGUGGAAUUCCUAGUGUAGAGGUGAAAUUCGUAGAUAUUAGGAAGAACACCAGUGGCGAAGGCGGCUCACUGGUCCGGUACUGACGCUGAGGUGCGAAAGCGUGGGGAGCAAACAGG